UACAGGGGGGCAAGCGUUGUUCGGAAUUACUGGCGUAAAGGGCUUGUAGGUGGCCAACUAAGUCACACGUGAAAUCCCCAGGCUUAACCUGGGAACUGCGUGUGAUACUGGAUGGCUUGAAUCCGGGAGAGGUGAGUGGAACUCCUAGUGUAGAGGUGGAAUUCGUAGAUAUUAGCAAGAACACCAGUGGCGAAGGCGGCUCACUGGCCCGGUACUGACGCUGAGGUGCGAAAGCGUGGGGAGCAAACAGG
rnacentral:rRNA from 1 species